UGGCGGGUAGUUCAACUGGCAGAACGCCGCACUGUUAAUGCGGUAGUUGAAGGUUCGAAUCCUUCCCCGUCAG
rnacentral:tRNA from 1 species